rnacentral:rRNA from 1 species
GAUGAACGCUGGCGGCGUGCCUAAUACAUGCAAGUCGAGCGAACAGACGAGAAGCUUGCUUCUCUGAUGUUAGCGGCGGACGGGUGAGUAACACGUGGAUAACCUACCUAUAAGACUGGGAUAACUUCGGGAAACCGGAGCUAAUACCGGAUAAUAUUUUGAACCGCAUGGUUCGAAAGUGAAAGAUGGUCUUGCUGUCACUUAUAGAUGGAUCCGCGCUGCAUUAGCUAGUUGGUAAGGUAACGGCUUACCAAGGCAACGAUGCAUAGCCGACCUGAGAGGGUGAUCGGCCACACUGGAACUGAGACACGGUCCAGACUCCUACGGGAGGCAGCAGUAGGGAAUCUUCCGCAAUGGGCGAAAGCCUGACGGAGCAACGCCGCGUGAGUGAUGAAGGUCUUCGGAUCGUAAAACUCUGUUAUUAGGGAAGAACAUAUGUGUAAGUAACUGUGCACAUCUUGACGGUACCUAAUCAGAAAGCCACGGCUAACUACGUG